UGGGGAAUCUUGCGCAAUGGGCGAAAGCCUGACGCAGCCAUGCCGCGUGAAUGAUGAAGGUCUUAGGAUUGUAAAAUUCUUUCACCGGGGACGAUAAUGACGGUACCCGGAGAAGAAGCCCCGGCUAACUUCGUGCCAGCAGCCGCGGUAAUACGAAGGGGGCUAGCGUUGCUCGGAAUUACUGGGCGUAAAGGGCGCGUAGGCGGACAUUUAAGUCAGGGGUGAAAUCCCAGAGCUCAACUCUGGAACUGCCUUUGAUACUGGGUGUCUUGAGUGUGAGAGAGGUAUGUGGAACUCCGAGUGUAGAGGUGAAAUUCGUAGAUAUUCGGAAGAACACCAGUGGCGAAGGCGACAUACUGGCUCAUUACUGACGCUGAGGCGCGAAAGCGUGGGGAGCAAACGGGAUUAGAUACCCAGGUAGUCCCUGAGCGGGCUGGCAAGGCGCAU
rnacentral:rRNA from 1 species